rnacentral:rRNA from 1 species
GAGCGGUAGAGAGAAGCUUGCUUCUCUUGAGAGCGGCGGACGGGUGAGUAAUGCCUAGGAAUCUGCCUGGUAGUGGGGGAUAACGUUCGGAAACGGACGCUAAUACCGCAUACGUCCUACGGGAGAAAGCAGGGGACCUUCGGGCCUUGCGCUAUCAGAUGAGCCUAGGUCGGAUUAGCUAGUUGGUGAGGUAAUGGCUCACCAAGGCGACGAUCCGUAACUGGUCUGAGAGGAUGAUCAGUCACACUGGAACUGAGACACGGUCCAGACUCCUACGGGAGGCAGCAGUGGGGAAUAUUGGACAAUGGGCGAAAGCCUGAUCCAGCCAUGCCGCGUGUGUGAAGAAGGUCUUCGGAUUGUAAAGCACUUUAAGUUGGGAGGAAGGGUUGUAGAUUAAUACUCUGCAAUUUUGACGUUACCGACAGAAUAAGCACCGGCUAACUCUGUG